rnacentral:rRNA from 1 species
AACGAACGCUGGCGGCAUGCCUAACACAUGCAAGUCGAACGAGACCUUCGGGUCUAGUGGCGCACGGGUGCGUAACGCGUGGGAACCUGCCCUUAGGUUCGGAAUAACUCUCCGAAAGGGGUGCUAAUACCGGAUAAUGUCUUCGGACCAAAGAUUUAUCGCCUUUGGAUGGGCCCGCGUUGGAUUAGCUAGUUGGUAGGGUAAAAGCCUACCAAGGCGACGAUCCAUGGCUGGUCUGAGAGGAUGAUCAGCCACACUGGGACUGAGACACGGCCCAGACUCCUACGGGAGGCAGCAGUGGGGAAUAUUGGACAAUGGGCGAAAGCCUGAUCCAGCAAUGCCGCGUGAGUGAUGAAGGCCUUAGGGUUGUAAAGCUCUUUUACCCGGGAUGAUAAUGACAGUACCGGGAGAAUAAGCUCCGGCUAACUCCGUG